AGGAUAAACGCUGGCGGCGUGCCUAAAACAUGCAAGUCGAACGGGUGCCUUCGGGUACCAGUGGCGGACGGCUGAGUAACACGUGGGUGACCUGCCCGAGCGCGGGGGACAACCGCCCGAAAGGGUGGCUAAUACCGCAGAUGUCGCGGAUUCGGUUCCGUGACUAAACCUGUAAGGGGCGCUCGGAGGGGCCCGCGGCCGAUUAGCUGGUUGGUGGGGUGACGGCCUACCAAGGCUCCGAUCGGUAGCUGGUCUGAGAGGAUGAUCAGCCAGACUGGGACUGCGACACGGCCCAGACUCCUACGGGAGGCAGCAGUUAGGAAUUUUGGGCAAUGGGGGCAACCCUGACCCAGCAACGCCGCGUGGGUGAUGAAGGCCUUCGGGUCGUAAAGCCCUUUUCCGGGGGACGAGUGGUGACGGUACCCGGGAAUCGAGCCCCGGCUAACUACGUGCCAGCAGCCGC
rnacentral:rRNA from 1 species